AAUUGUUAAAUUUUAUUUAAUUUAAUUAUUAUUGUGUGGAGUAUUUUUUAUAGAAAUAACUUUUUUUUUAGUAAUUUUUAAUGAAUUAAUUUUUUAUAUUUAUAGUUUAUUUUACUGUGAAGGUUUAUAAUUAUUAAUUUAUAAGUAAAAUUAAUUAUUUGUACCUUUUGUAUCAGGGUUUAUUUAUAAUAUUUUAAUUAUUUUAAAUAUCCCGAAUUUAAAAGAGAUAUAUGUAAUUGUUAUUUAAUGUAGAAAAAUUAUUAAUAAAUUAUAUAUAGAUGUUAUAUGCUAUUCAAUUUUAAAUAUCUGGUUUCUUGAUAAUUGAAUUUAAUUCAGGAUUAAUUAAAAUUCCAACAGAUCAAUUUAUUUCUGUUGUAGAUUUAAUCUAAAAUAGGAGGGGAUAAGCUCUUUUAUUUUUUCAUAAAUUUUAUAUUUUAAAAAUUUUGUAGGAUUAGAAAUUUUCAUCAUUUAUUUUGUUAUAAUAAUGUUUUUAUUUAUAUUUAUUUAGUUUUGUAUUUUGAAUAUUUAUUAAGAAUUAUUAAUAAAUAAAUUAUUAAUAGGUAUAAUGAUAAAAUUAGUAAAUUACUGUAAUUUAAUAAAUAGGAAUUCGGCAAAUAUAUUCUUCACCUGUUUAACAAAAACAUGUCUUAAUGAUAGCAAUUACAUAUUAAGUCUGGCCUGCUCAAUGAUUUAUAUUAAAUAGCCGCAGUAUUUUGACUGUGCGAAGGUAGCAUAAUCAUUUGUCUUUUAAUUGAAGGCUUGUAUGAAUGGUUGGAUGAGGGAAUAUCUUUCUUUUUAUUAAAUGUUGAAUUUAAUUUUUUAGUUAAAAAGCUUAAAUAUUUAAAUGGGACGAGAAGACCCUAUAGAAUUUUAUUAAUAAAUUAUUAAAUAAUAAUUUUGGUUUAUACUUUUAUUAAUAAUUUAUUAAUUUUGUUGGGGUGACAAUGAGAUUUAAUAAACUCUCAUAAUAUAAUUUAUUAUAUAUAAAUAUAUAAAAGAUCCUAUAAUAAGGAUAACUAGAUUAAAUUACCUUAGGGAUAACAGCGUAAUUUUUUUGGAGAGUUCUUAUCGAUAAAGAAGUUUGCGACCUCGAUGUUGGAUUAAAAUUAGAUUUAAGUGCAGUAGCUUAAUUUCUAGGUCUGUUCGACCUUUAAAAUUUUACAUGAUCUGAGUUCAGACCGGCGUGAGCCAGGUCGGUUUCUAUCUUUUUAUUAAUAUUACAAAUUAGUACGAAAGGACCAUUUGUGACAAUUAUUUUGUUAAAGUUGAUUAUCUUUAAAA
rnacentral:rRNA from 1 species